rnacentral:lncRNA from 1 species
GGGAUGUCUCCGUGCUGUUUGGGUCUCACCAAGCCCUUGUUCAGUGGAAGCCUCCUGCCCUUCCCAUUGGAGCCAGCACUUCUGCCUGGCAGAACUGGACUUAUGAAGUGCAGAUAUCAACCCAAGACCUUCCUGAGUUUGCUCAAACUUUCUCUAACAUAAAGGGAGUCAUGCUUG